rnacentral:tRNA from 1 species
CGUGCAGUAGCCGAGUGGUAGGUGGUAGAUUUUGCGCUUGUUGGUCAUGGGUUCGAUCCCCGACGGUGCCC